UGGUCUACACUUUUGGAAUCUCUUCCCUAAGUAGGCCUGAGUCAGUGAAAAGCUUCUAGAGGGCGGGACAGAAUGUGGAUAUUAGGUAGAGGACGGGGUUGCUGACCAGUUGCACUUCGGCCCAGCCCCUAGUCUCUAAUCACAAGUGUUCCUACUACCCUCAGGUGAAGACCGUGCUAUAAAUCUUUCGUUAGGAAGCUGCUGCUUGGGCGGCUCUCUCUCUGCGACUGAGAAAUCUUCCACAAGAAAAGUCUCCUCUGUUUUGGAAGGGCCCUCCCAGGACGGGUGGACUAGAUCGCUCUAGCGAAUGCUGCGACCAGACGAGGUGCGCAGUCCUCCCUCCCACAAAAGCCCUCACGAGUCAUUCCAAAGGAAGAGCCUGCUGCCCUGAGGGCUGAUUACCACCAUCAGGUCUGCUCACUCCUGUUGCUUCUCCUGCUCAACCUUUCCUUAGAGAGCUAUCUCCUGCUGCAGAGGUCAGCGAAUCCGUUUUGGAGUUGUCGAAAAGAACCACUCACGGCUCCAGAAAGGAGGGGCUGUAGCCCUUUAAGGACUUCGCCAGGAUGGAUUCGGAGAUGAGUUUAAAAAUGCCAACUCACAGAGCGCGCUGGAUUCUGGGAGCGAGAUUUCAGACCGGGAACUACAUUGACCAGUAUGCACUGCAAACACACACGCCUUUACUUCCUACUGCUUUUUAGGACUCGGCUUUGACGUAGCGCUCCUCUAAGCAAGUAGCCUAGGCGGAGGACUGAGCCACGCCUUUUCACCUAUUGGCCAGAUCACGAGUUGGUGGGCGUGGCUUAGCACAAUUCCGCUAGGCAAAGGGGUGGUCUCCUUGCCAAUCAGAGCUAAGGCGGUCGGGGAGGCGGGACCAGGGCGAAGCGCUGGCGCCCCCGAGUGGGUGUGGUCACGCUGCCCAGCAGUGGGCGGUGAUUGGCCCUGGGCGGUGCAAUCGCAGCUUGUGCGUCACGACGCCGCCAGCUGAUCGGAGACUGGAGCCGGUGUGUGCUGGGCGCUGGGAAGAGACAGCGCCGCCGGCCGUGGGGGACGGACGCACUGAUUUGCUCCCCUACCUUCAACAACCCCCCACCCAGCACCAGGAAGCUGUACCUCCCACAUCCUCACCUGGCUGAGCCGCAGUAGUUCUUCAGUGGCAAGCUUUAUGUCCUGACCCAGCUAAAGCUGCCAGUUGAAGAACUGUUGCCCUCUGCCCCUGGCUUCGAGGAGGAGGAGGAGGAAGAGGAGAAGGAGCUGCUUUCCCCCUCACCUGGAAGGUCUUUCUGGGUGAAAUCCAAAAGGAAGUUUCCUCUUCAGGGCAAAGGUCAUACUGAGACACCCAUCUGAGUGGUCCCCUGCCCCUGCUCUUACUUUUUCUGUGUUUCCUUGGUCUGGCCCAGACUCUAGAUUCAGGGAUACUCACAUCUGUGGGAGACCCUUAGACCUCCUGUCUCAGCUUCUCCACCUGUGAGGUGGGGAAUCACACAGUUGAGCAUGCAUGAGGAAAUCAGAAGCCCUUGUGCAGACUCAGAGCCUGGACUCUACUCUCCCUGUGGGUGGGAACAAAACAGCUUUUCACGUCUUAAGCUAUUGCCCUUCCCCCAUCCCUGUAUAGAUCCCCAGGAACAGGGGGGUAGGGUGUGGAGGGAGUUGAGGGAGGGGCUAGGGCUAGACCAAUGCAAGAUGUUGGUGGCAGCUCAUUCUCUGCAUUGACUGCCUACCAUGUGAAGGUGGCCCAGGCUUCCCCUGCCUCCCAAAGCAGGACUGCAGCCCCUGAUGUGGUUCUAGCUGCCUCUGCUCUCUUCCUUCACUUUACUUUCUUGGAUAGUGUGUGAGACUCAGCUCAAGCCUGUGCAGGCAGGAAAUUCUCCCCUCCAGCAGCCAGGAGAGAUGGGUAAUAGGAUGUGACCCAUUUGGGGGAAUCAGGCAUUGUAAACUUGCCACCCAUGACUCCUGAUAUAAUCUCCUUCUCAUGCUCAGGCUCUGAUGUGGUUUAGCCUUGGCCAAGGCUCCCUGCCUGAAGGCGACCGAGUUCAGGGGUUAUAGGGAGCUGUUUGUUCUGUUUGGGGACAGGAGUCGUACAGGGAGCUGGGUCCUAUUCUCCAUUUAUGAGAAACAGAUUUAGGAGGGAGUAGAUCAUUGAAUCCACCCUUCUGCAGCCUAAGCUGGAUGUGAGUGGGACUGCGGUAGAGGGAGGUGGGUAGACUGAGUCUACUCAUCGGCUGCAACAAAGAUCACUCUGUCCCCGGACAUUGCUUCCCUCCUUUCUUCCCCUCCUCGCUUUGCUGGCGACAGUGUAUCCCUCCAGCUUUGGGUAUGUGGCUCUGCCAUCCUCACCCAUCAUGGAGCAGAAAUGAGGAAGAGCAGCCUGGGAACACAGAGGCAGGCAGAAGACCAGUGAAGGACCAGUUCUGGAGAACACAGGGUCCUGUCUGGGCAUCCUGAGAGAGGGCUCAUAAAGGCCAGGACCAUCCCAGGACAGCCAGCCUCCAUCAAGGACAAGCUUCCAGCCAUCUACUUCAUUCUCCAUUUGUCUCCAGUCUUUCUGCCUCCCUGAGAUGUGAGACUGUAUUAAAGUGUCCUUGGCUUCAUUCUCCUGCUUCCACCUCUCCCCCACUCUGUAAUUUUUAUAUAAGUACCUUCCAGGAGCAAGAACCAGCUGUGAAAGGACAUACACAGAAAAUUCAGAAAAGAAAUUCAAAUGGAUAAAACCCUGGGGGAAAAAUGUAUGCUUCAUUAGUAAUUACAGAGGCAAAUAUAGCUGAAAGCAUUUUUCUGGUAGCAAACUAUAACAAAAAAUAAGACCCAGUUAUUGGCAAAAGAAGUACUAAAAUAACACUCCCAUACAUUGCAUAUGGGGAUACAAACUGAUACAGCCUUACUGAUGUCAGUUUGGUAAUAUGUAUCAAACAUCUUAAAAGUUUCAUGGCCUUUGACCUGUCAUUCUACAUUUGGGAAUUUAUCCUAAGGAAAUAAUUAAAGAUUAGUUAUAAGAUGUUCAUCCCAGCAUUGCAGUUGAGAAAAAUGGGAAGCAACUAUCUGGUUGGGAAUUCAUUUCUUUGCUGCUGCAAUGAAAAUUUGCAAGAGGGGAUUGCUUAAAUAAGUUAUUGUAUAUCCAUCCAGAUGGUAGAGUACUGCACAGCCAUUUAAAGUCACAGAAGAACAUUUGACUGGAAAGAAAAAUGCUCUUUGAAUAUUAAAAAGGUUAUAAAAAUGGUGUGUAUUCUGUAAUCUCAGUUUUGUUUUUUUUAAAAUAUGGAUGUAUACUUGUAUACAUAAAGCAGUUUAAAGAAAAAACUGAGGAUGUACUCCAAAUUGUUAAUAACAGUGGUUAUCUUUGGAGGGUGGAAUAAAGUCACUGUAAUUUUCCUCUUUGGUUUCUCUGUAACUGCCAAAUUUUCUACAGUAAUUGUGUAUGGCUGUCAUAUAAUAAAAUAAAAUUUAAAAGAAUCA